AAAAAAGCAUUCUUCCCUUUAAAGUGGUUACGAUGGCAUGCCAAGUCUUUUCAUAGCAUAUCAUUAUUAAAGGGAAAUACAAAU
ensembl:snoRNA